CUCUUGUUUACUUUUGAAGGAUAAUUUCACUGCAUAGGAUUCUAAGUGCUGCCACUGGCCCUACCACUCUGGGACUCUAUCAUUACCACUGAAAACAAGGAGCGCAUUUCAACAGUGGUAUCUUUUACCAUCAUCUCAUAUAGGCAGACACAGAAAAUACAGGCUUUUUAAGAAUACUACUGCUCCUCUUAGCAAUGGAUUUCUUAAGGUUAAGAUGAAGUGAUUGUCCUCGGGGACUUCCUGAGGGAUAUAAUGAAAGGGUUGAAGAGUAUAUUGCACAUGAUGAAACCAUCCCAACAUUCCUAUCUCAUCAAGCCUUCCUUUCUUCUCUGUUAUGGCAAGAAAGUUUUAGUAUAUUAAUCUAAUCUAAUGAAGGCCAUUGUUGAGUCUGGUUUCAGUCAAUCAGCUCAGCAAACUCUUAGAGCCACUUCUGACUGAUACACUGAAUCCAGAAUCUCUGAUGCUACUAACAUAUCAGUAAUUUCAAUAUUAUUUUCCUUGGUCUAGAACACACUCCUACUCAGUACUGACCCAAUCCUCCAGUACUGACAUACAUUAACAAUAUCUUGCCAUUGUUUCCCUGUGUAGGCUUUUCCUCUAGUGUCAGGCAUCUUACUCAUCUUCCCAGGGCAUGCUGAGAUCUGAGUCUUGUGGAUCUAGAGGCUCUCUUAAGAUUCAUUUAGAAAACGUGGAGUAUUUCAAACAGAGGAGGAUUAAAAUACCAGGAAUAGGUGUGGAAGAAUUGCAAGAGCAAAAAACUGAGUAGAUAGAACACCACUAUCUUCAGGUAAACCCCUGAAGUUCAAUGAGAAAUUUCUGCUGCCUCCUAUGUUGGAAAACCAAAGGACAUUUCCACUGAGGGACACAGCUACCCUGCUGUACCAGUGUGGGUGGCUGGUAAGGAAGCACUCCAUGUCUGCUGUCAGAGAAAUAAGAAAAUGAUUUCUGCUUUAUCCCAUUUUCUAGUUCUCACACAAGUCUAUCUUGCUGAUAGAAGAUUGAUAAUGUACAGAACCCU